CUACCAUGCAGUCGACGAUGAUGCCCAGCUUGCUGGGUGGAUUAGUGGCGAACGGGUGAGUAACACGUGAGUAACCUGCCCCUGACUCUGGGAUAAGCGUUGGAAACGACGUCUAAUACUGGAUAUGAUCACUGGCCGCAUGGUCUGGUGGUGGAAAGAUUUUUUGGUUGGGGAUGGACUCGCGGCCUAUCAGCUUGUUGGUGAGGUAAUGGCUCACCAAGGCGACGACGGGUAGCCGGCCUGAGAGGGUGACCGGCCACACUGGGACUGAGACACGGCCCAGACUCCUACGGGAGGCAGCAGUGGGGAAUAUUGCACAAUGGGCGAAAGCCUGAUGCAGCAACGCCGCGUGAGGGAUGACGGCCUUCGGGUUGUAAACCUCUUUUAGUAGGGAAGAAGCGAAAGUGACGGUACCUGCAGAAAAAGCACCGGCUAACUACGUGCCAGCAGCCGCGGUAAUACGUAGGGUGCAAGCGUUGUCCGGAAUUAUUGGGCGUAAAGAGCUCGUAGGCGGUUUGUCGCGUCUGCUGUGAAAUCCCGAGGCUCAACCUCGGGCUUGCAGUGGGUACGGGCAGACUAGAGUGCGGUAGGGGAGAUUGGAAUUCCUGGUGUAGCGGUGGAAUGCGCAGAUAUCAGGAGGAACACCGAUGGCGAAGGCAGAUCUCUGGGCCGUAACUGACGCUGAGGAGCGAAAGCAUGGGGAGCGAACAGGAUUAGAUACCCUGGUAGUCCAUGCCGUAAACGUUGGGCGCUAGAUGUAGGGACCUUUCCACGGUUUCUGUGUCGUAGCUAACGCAUUAAGCGCCCCGCCUGGGGAGUACGGCCGCAAGGCUAAAACUCAAAGGAAUUGACGGGGGCCCGCACAAGCGGCGGAGCAUGCGGAUUAAUUCGAUGCAACGCGAAGAACCUUACCAAGGCUUGACAUACACCGGAACGGCCAGAGAUGGUCGCCCCCUUGUGGUCGGUGUACAGGUGGUGCAUGGUUGUCGUCAGCUCGUGUCGUGAGAUGUU
rnacentral:rRNA from 1 species